rnacentral:lncRNA from 1 species
AAAGCUCAAAAUUUGAGCUUUUGCUAAUAGAAGCAAAAUAGCGUAUUUAAGCUUCAAAAGCUCUAUUAGAAAAAUAACCAAACAAUAACGAAAAUUAUGAUUAGAACUUAUAAGAUUAAAUAAGUACUUAUAACAAUUAAAUAAGUCAUAUCAAAUAAGCACUUCAAUGAGAUAAUAUAAUUAAGCCCACACAAUGUGACCUUCAAUUAGAGUGAUAUUUGGUGACCAAAGACUGAAUUAAGAUUAACCAAAUAUCAAAUUAUUAGUGUGUAAGAUCUAACAUGCAUUGACCAGUUAACAUGAACCAUAUAUUCAAUGCUCCUUGUAGUUAUAGCAAAUGGAGUAGAUUAAUUUCUCCCAAUAUUAAGAGUAAACAUAGCAAAUUUAUGCUACAAACUAAUUCGCAUGCCUAAUGGAAAAAAAAAAUUUGAGACAUCGAACACUAAACUAAAAAUAUUAGUUAUAAUUCCUUUUUUUUUUCUUUUUUCAAUCAGAAUUUAACUAUUCUUCACAUAAUCUUGAGCUAUAAAAUUUCAUGACCUUCUAUCAAGAAUCGAUGUGUAUGCAUGAUUGUGGAAUUGAUUGAAAUGGUUGUGGAAAGUAGAAUUGAAUUGUGUUUGAAAUAGUUGAGAAAUUACCGAAUUAAUUGAAAUGGUAGUGGGUGGGACAUGAGAAUUGAAUUGUGGAUGGGAAAUGGUUUCGGUAGGUCCGACCUGAUGUUGGCCCGAUUCGGGUUGGAUCCGACCCGACCCUAACUAUAAAAAUGUAAGACUUUUUUAAGGUUGGACUUUAAUUCUUUAUUGAUCGGGUCGAGUCGGAUUUGGCCAAGCCCGAACCCGACCGGACGUUUUACCAUCCCUAAUCUUAUAUCAAGAAUUGAUGUGUAUGCAUGCUUCAUUGCUUCUUGUGAUAUAUACAUCUCUGCGCUUAGUUUUCAAGUCUUUAAUUGACUGUGACUUGACCCGCUACUACUUUUAAACCUACUUGAUUAUUAGCCACCACAUACGGGAGGGUAAAAGCUUGUUUAGUCCCUAUAUUAUGAGGUUAGUGUCCAUUUAGUCCUUGUAUUUUUAAAAACACCUCAAAACGUCCCUGCUACUAAAUAUUGACACUUAUGCCAUUAUUUUUUAUUAUUUUUAACUUGUUUUUACAAUAUUACAUUUUUACAAUAAUGUUUCUUUUUUGGAUAUUAAUAAAAAAUUAAAUUAUCAAAUUA